UGGGGGAUAUUGCACAAUGGGGGAAACCCUGAUGCAGCGACGCCGCGUGGGUGAAGAAGCGCCUCGGCGCGUAAAGCCCUGUCAGCAGGGAAGAAAAUGACGGUACCCGAAGAAGAAGCCCCGGCUAACUACGUGCC
rnacentral:rRNA from 1 species